rnacentral:ribozyme from 1 species
UGCCCAGCAACUCCUAUCCCUACUUCCUCGGGGUUCCGGCCGAAAACUAUGAGCAACCUUAGGGAAGAUCGGGUAACCAACCCCGGUGGGAACUUUGGUCGUUGGCUGACAGGGAAGG